AUUGAACGCUGGCGGCAGGCUUAACACAUGCAAGUCGAGCGGGGUGAUGGUGCUUGCACUAUCACUUAGCGGCGGACGGGUGAGUAAUGCCUAGGAAUCUGCCUAUAGUGGGGGACAACAUCUCGAAAGGGAUGCUAAUACCGCAUACGUCCUACGGGAGAAAGCAGGGGAUCACUUGUGACCUUGCGUUAAUAGAUGAGCCUAAGUCGGAUUAGCUAGUUGGUGGGGUAAAGGCCUACCAAGGCGACGAUCUGUAGCGGGUCGGAGAGGAUGAUCCGCCACACUGGGACUGAGACACGGCCCAGACUCCUACGGGAGGCAGCAGUGGGGAAUAUUGGACAAUGGGGGGAACCCUGAUCCAGCCAUGCCGCGUGUGUGAAGAAGGCCUUAUGGUUGUAAAGCACUUUAAGCGAGGAGGAGGCUCUUUUGGUUAAUACCCAAGAUGAGUGGACGUUACUCGCAGAAUAAGCACCGGCUAACUCUGUGCCAGCAGCCGCCGUAA
rnacentral:rRNA from 1 species